GCCGGCAGGAGAAGAGAAGAAAGGAAGCAUAAGGAAUUAGGCCAGAUAAUUGGUUUAAAUGUUGCUACUACCAAGAUACUCUCUGACGAGGAAGAUUAAAUAAUGUAAACAAUAAUAACUUAACAUAAAGGCAGACUUAAAAUCUAGAUAAUAUCAACAAAGAUAACAUGAGCGGGGAGAAGAGUGGAUGCCGUCACAUUCGUCUUCUUUUUUCCCACAGGGAAUUUCUAGCCCAGCGCUAAGAGAGACAGACAGAGAGAGAAAUGUAUGUGUGUACACAUAAAUAUCUGAAAAUAACAAAGAAACUCCGGGAAUAAAAACCAGAAUGAUCAGCUUUCAAAAAACCAAGGAAAAGAAUGAGAAAGGAAAUGUAGUAUGUGAAUAAAUAGACAUAAAAAACAAAGUACAGAACAAGGUAACAGAUGCGUAUUUCCCUGGUUGGGAGGAUCUUCAAUCAAAAUCAUAGACACAGACCCGUUUCAGGGAGUGGCUCUGCCACUCUUAACAGGGGCCCAAAAGAUCAUGCUUAGAGUUGUCUUCAUUUUUCUUCACAAGGCAAGAAAAGGGGAUGAAUGAGCAAAUAUGGGUGAUUUUAUGGAUGAUGCCUGGAAGUGAUGUACAUUACUUGUACUUGUAAUCAACCAAUAGAAUUCAGUCUUAUGGCCACACCAAACCACAAGAGAGGCUACACAAAGGCAGUCUAGUUUAUCAAGGGAGAAGAGGAGAAGGGUUUGGUCACCAAAUACCAGUUUCUGUCACACUAUCAUAUAUAUUUCUGGAAAAUAAGAACUAUGAGUGGAACUUGCCUGUCCACUUACAGAUAAUUAAACCCGGGAGACUUGGGUGAUGAGAUAAAUCUAUAGACAGGAAGGUCACUUAAUUUUUGUGCAAAUUGGAACAUGUUCAAGCGUGAAAAUCUGUCUUAAAAAUUCAAAUUAUUGGCCAGGUGCAGUGGCUCACGCCUGUAAUCCCAGCACUUUGGGAGGCCGAGGUCAGGAGAUCGAGACCAUCCUAGCUAACACGGUG
rnacentral:lncRNA from 10 species